UACGUAGGGGGCAAGCGUUGUCCGGAAUCAUUGGGCGUAAAGCGCGUGUAGGCGGUCCGGUAAGUCCGCUGUGAAAGUCGGGGGCUUAACCCUCGGAUGCCGGUGGAUACUGUCGGGCUUGAGUACGGAAGAGGCGAGUGGAAUUCCCAGUGUAGCGGUGAAAUGCGUAGAUAUUGGGAGGAACACCAGUGGCGAAGGCGGCUCGCUGGACCGGAACUGACGCUGAGGCGCGAAAGCGUGGGGAGCAAACAGG
rnacentral:rRNA from 1 species